rnacentral:rRNA from 1 species
UACAGAGGUCCCGAGCGUUGUUCGGAUUCAUUGGGCGUAAAGGGUGCGUAGGCGGCGGGGUAAGUCUGAUGUGAAAUCCCGGGGCUCAACCCUGGAACUGCAUUGGAUACUGCCUUGCUUGAGAACUGGAGAGGAGACUGGAGUUUACGGUGUAGCAGUGAAAUGCGUAGAUAUCGUCUGGAACGCCGAAGGUGAAAACAGCUCGCUGGGGCCGCGCUGACGCUGAGACACGAAAGCCAGGGGAGCGAACGGG